rnacentral:rRNA from 1 species
CCUACGGGAGGCAGCAGUGAGGAAUAUUGGUCAAUGGCCGAGAGGCUGAACCAGCCAAGUCGCGUGAGGGAAGACGGCCCUACGGGUUGUAAACCUCUUUUGUCGGGGAGCAAAGCGAGUCACGUGUGACUCAUUGAGAGUACCCGAAGAAAAAGCAUCGGCUAACUCCGGGCCAGCCGCCGCGGUAAUACGGAGGAGGCGAACGUUAUCCGGAUUUAUUGGGGUAAAAGGGUGCGCAGGCGGAGGUGAAGGUCAGCGGUCAACUUGCGGGGCUCAACCCCGUACUGCCGUUGAAACUGCAUCCCUUGAGUGCGCGAGAAGUAUGCGGAAUGCGUGGUGUAGCGGUGAAAUGCAUAGAUAUCACGCAGAACUCCGAUUGCGAAGGCAGCAUACCGGCGCGCAACUGACGCUCAUGCACGAAAGCGUGGGUAUCGAACAGGAUUAGAUACCCGUGUAGUC